rnacentral:rRNA from 1 species
UACGUAGGGUCCGAGCGUUGUCCGGAAUUAUUGGGCGUAAAGAGCUCGUAGGCGGUUUGUCGCGUCGAAUGUGAAAACCCGGGGCUCAACCCCGGGCCUGCAUUCGAUACGGGCAGACUAGAGUUCGGUAGGGGAGUCUGGAAUUCCUGGUGUAGCGGUGAAAUGCGCAGAUAUCAGGAGGAACACCGGUGGCGAAGGCGGGACUCUGGGCCGAUACUGACGCUGAGGAGCGAAAGCGUGGGGAGCGAACAGG